rnacentral:rRNA from 1 species
GACAGAGGGGGCAAGCGUUGCUCGGAAUUACUGGGCGUAAAGGGCGCGUAGGCGGGAUGGCAAGUCGGUCGUGAAAUCCCUCGGCUCAACCGAGGAACGUCGAUCGAUACUGCUGUUCCUGAGGAUUGCAGAGGAGACUGGAAUUCCUGGUGUAGCGGUGAAAUGCGCAGAUAUCAGGAAGAACACCCGUGGCGAAGGCGGCUCUCUGGGACGGUACUGACGCUGAGACGCGAAAGCGUGGGGAGCGAACAGG